AUACGGAGGAUGCGAGCGUUAUCCGGAUUUAUUGGGUUUAAAGGGUGCGUAGGCGGUCGGGUAAGCGUAGGGUGGAAGUCCUCUGCUCAACAGAGGAAGUGCCUUCCGAACUGUCCGACUGGAAUACUCCUGCCGUGGGAGGAAUGUGUGGUGUAGCGGUGAAAUGCAUAGAGAUCACACAGAACACCGAUUGCGAAGGCAUCUCACGAAGGGGCUAUUGACGCUGAGGCACGAAAGCGUGGGGAUCAAACAGGAUUAGAUACCCUGGUAGUCCACGCAGUAAACGAUGAUGACUAACCGUCGGUCAAGACUGAUCGGUGGCCAAGCGAAAGCGAUAAGUCAUCCACCUGGGGAGUACGACCGCAAGGUUGAAACUCAAAGGAAUUGACGGGG
rnacentral:rRNA from 1 species